CGUAGGGGGCAAGCGUUGUUCGGAAUUACUGGGCGUAAAGGGCGCGUAGGCGGCACGGCAAGUCGGGAGUGAAAGCCCGGGGCUCAACCCCGGAACGGCUCUCGAAACUGCCGAGCUAGAGUGCGGAAGGGGCAACUGGAAUUCCCAGUGUAGCGGUGAAAUGCGUAGAUAUUGGGAAGAACACCUGAGGCGAAGGCGGGUUGCUGGGCCGACACUGACGCUGAGGCGCGAAAGCCAGGGGAGCAAACGGGAUUAGAUACCCCGGUAGUCCUGGCCCUAAACGAUGGAUACUUGGUGUGUGGGGUUCUCUGAGUCCCCGCGUGCCGGAGCUAACGCGGUAAGUACCCCGCCUGGGGAGUACGGUCGCAAGGCUG
rnacentral:rRNA from 1 species